rnacentral:rRNA from 1 species
UACGUAGGGGCAAGCGUUGUCCGGAUUAUUGGGCGUAAAGAGCGUGUAGGCGGCUGGGUAGGUCCGUUGUGAAAACUCGAGCUCAACCUCGAGACGCCGAUGGAAACCCUCCAGCUAGAGUCCGGAAGAGGAGAGUGGAAUUCCUGGUGUAGCGGUGAAAUGCGCAGAUAUCAGGAAGAACACCCGUGGCUAAGGCGGCUCUCUAGUACGGUACUGACGCUGAGACGCGAAAGCGUGGGGAGCGAACAGG